CAGCAGCCGCGGUAAGACGAACCGUGCGAACGUUAUUCGGAAUCACUGGGCUUAAAGCGCGUGUAGGCGGGAGGGCACGUCCGUCGCUGAAAUCCCCCGGCUCAACCGGGGAACGGGCGCGGAUACGACUCUUCUGGAGGAACGUAGGGGGACCUGGAACUUCCGGUGGAGCGGUGAAAUGCGUUGAGAUCGGAAGGAACGCCCGUGGCGAAAGCGAGGUCCUGGACGUUUACUGACGCUGAGACGCGAAAGCCAGGGGAGCGAACGGGAUUAGAUACCCCAGUAGUCCCUGUCUCUUAUA
rnacentral:rRNA from 1 species